UACGUAGGGGGCAAGCGUUGUCCGGAUUUAUUGGGCGUAAAGCGCUCGCAGGUGGUCCGAUGCGUCGUGCGUGAAAGACCCCGGCUCAACUGGGGAGGGUCGUGCGAUACGGUCGGACUGGAGGCCAGUAGGGGGAUGCGGAAUUCCGGGUGUAGUGGUGGAAUGCGUAGAGAUCCGGAGGAACACCAGCGGCGAAGGCGGCAUCCUGGACUGGUCCUGACACUCAUGAGCGAAAGCGUGGGGAGCGAGCCGG
rnacentral:rRNA from 1 species